GACGAACGCUGGCGGCGUGCUUAACACAUGCAAGUCGAACGAAGUGGCGAACGGGUGAGUAACGCGUAAUUAACCUGCCCUUCAGAGGGGGACAACAGUUGGAAACGACUGCUAAUACCGCAUACUGAAGGAGGGGAUUGCGUCUGAUUAGCUAGUUGGUGGGGUAACGGCCCACCAAAGGGAUGAUCAGUAGCCGGUCGGGGAGAAUGAACGGCGACAUUGGGACUUGGACACGGCCAAGACUACUACGAGAGGCAGCAGUGGGGAAUAUACCGCAAUGAACGAAAGUCUGACGGAGCAACGCAGCGUGAGUGAUGACGGCCUUCGGGUUGUAAAGAUCUGUUAAGCGGGACGCGGUACCGGAAUAGAAAGCCACGGCUAACUACGUGCCAGCAGCCGCGGUAAUAC
rnacentral:rRNA from 1 species